rnacentral:rRNA from 1 species
UCCAGACUCCUACGGGAGGCAGCAGUGAGGAAUAUUGGUCAAUGGGCGGGAGCCUGAACCAGCCAAGUCGCGUGAGGGAAGACGGUCCUACGGAUUGUAAACCUCUUUUGCCGGGGAGCAAGGGCGGGGACGUGUCCCGGCCCGGAGAGUACCCGGAGAAAAAGCAUCGGCUAACUCCGUGCCAGCAGCCGCGGUAAUACGGAGGAUGCGAGCGUUAUCCGGAUUUAUUGGGUUUAAAGGGUGCGUAGGCGGGCUUUUAAGUCAGCGGUAAAAAUUCGGGGCUCAACCCCGUCCGGCCGUUGAAACUGGGGGCCUUGAGUGGGCGAGAAGAAGGCGGAAUGCGUGGUGUAGCGGUGAAAUGCAUAGAUAUCACGCAGAACCCCGAUUGCGAAGGCAGCCUUCCGGCGCCCUACUGACGCUGAGGCACGAAAGCGUGGGGAUCGAACAGGAUUAGAUACCCUUGUAA